rnacentral:rRNA from 1 species
GACGAACGCUGGCGGUAUGCUUAACACAUGCAAGUCGAACGAGACGAAGGUGCUUGCACCUUUAGAAAGUGGCGAACGGGUGAGUAACGCGUGGGUAACCUGCCCUAUGGAAAGGAAUAGCCUCGGGAAACUGGGAGUAAUGCCUUAUAAGAUGCAUCUGCCGCAUGGCGGAAGUAUUAAACGCUCCGGUGCCAUAGGAUGGACCCGCGUCCCAUUAGCUAGUUGGUGAGAUAACAGCCCACCAAGGCCACGAUGGGUAACCGGUCUGAGAGGGCGAACGGUCACACUGGAACUGAGACACGGUCCAGACUCCUACGGGUGGCUG